rnacentral:rRNA from 1 species
CCAGCACCCCGAGUGGUCGGGACGAUUAUUGGGCCUAAAGCAUCCGUAGCCGGUUUUACAAGUCCUCCGUUAAAUCCAACUGCUUAACAGAUGGGCCGCGGAGGUUACUAUAAGACUAGGAGGCAGGAGAGGCAAGCGGUACUCAGUGGGUAGGGGUAAAAUCCGUUGAUCCAUUGAAGACCACCAGUGGCGAAGGCGGCUUGCCAGAAUGCGCUCGACGGUGAGGGAUGAAAGCUGGGGGAGCAAACCGGAUUAGAUACCCGGGUAGUCCCAGCUGUAAACGAUGCAGACUCGGUGAUGGACUAGCUUUAUGCUAGUCCAGUGCCGCAGGGAAGCCGUUAAGUCUGCCGCCUGGGUAGUACGGUCGCAAGACUG